UCCAUUUUGUUGAGGACGAAAGGGUCCGAUUCAACCUGGCUCUUGAAAGCGGCAACAUCAGCGUCGCUGUUGCGUCCGCUACAGAGAUUAAUGAGAAAGAGCAGUGGUACAAACUUGGGGUGGAGGCUCUUCGCCAAGGUAAUGCUGGGAUUGUUGAAUUUGCGUACCAGCAGACGAAGAAUUUUGAGAGGUUGUCGUUUCUUUAUCUCAUUACUGGUAAGUUGGACAAGCUUUCAAAGCUGAUGAAGAUUGCAGAAGUGAAGAACAACGUAAUGGGUCAGUUUCAUAAUGCUCUCUACUUAGGAGAUGUAAAAGAGCGUGUCAAGAUACUUGAGAAUGCUGGUCAUUUGCCUCUCGCUUAUAUCACUGCUUCGGUUCAUGGAUUAAAUGACAUCGCUGAGCGACUGGCGACUGAGCUUGGAGAUAACGUGCCCUCAUUGCCUGAAGGAAAAACUCCAUCGCUUCUGAUGCCACCAUCUCCCGUCAUGUGUGGUGGUGAUUGGCCUCUUCUAAGAGUGAUGAAGGGAAUAUUUGAAGGCGGACUUGAGAGUGCAGCCAGAGGAGGGGCUGUUGAUGAUGAAGAAGAAGAUAUUGGUGGCGAUUGGGGUGAGGGACUUGACAUGGUCGAUGUUGAUGGAAUGGAGGACACAGACAUCAAAGCCAUUUUGGAGGAAGCAGAAAGAGGAGGAGAAGAGGAAGACAAUGAUGAAGAAGGUGGAUGGUUGGGAAUUGACGACUUGGAGCUCCCACCAGAGCUCGACACUCCUAAGGCCUCUGCUAACGCACGUUCAUCCGUCUUCGUGGCACCUACUCAAGGUAUGCCUAGAGAUUAAUGAGAAAGAGCAGUGGUACAAACUUGGGGUGGAGGCUCUUCGCCAAGGUAAUGCUGGGAUUGUUGAAUUUGCGUACCAGCAGACGAAGAAUUUUGAGAGGUUGUCGUUUCUUUAUCUCAUUACUGGUAAGUUGGACAAGCUUUCAAAGCUGAUGAAGAUUGCAGAAGUGAAGAACAACGUAAUGGGUCAGUUUCACAAUGCUCUCUACCUAGGAGAUGUUAAAGAGCGUGUCAAGAUACUUGAGAAUGCUGGUCAUUUACCUCUCGCCUAUAUCACUGCUUCGGUUCAUGGAUUAAAUGACAUCGCUGAGCGACUGGCGACUGAGCUUGGAGACAACGUGCCCUCAUUGCCUGA
rnacentral:lncRNA from 1 species